GAUGAAGAACGCAGCGAAAUGCGAUACGUAGUGUGAAUUGCAGAAUUCAGUGAAUCAUCGAAUCUUUGAACGCACAUUGCACCUCUCGGUAUUCCGGGAGGUAUGCCUGUUCGAGCGUCAUUUGUACCCUCAAGCUCUGCUUGGUGUUGGGUGUUUGUUCCGCCUCUGUGUGUGAACUCGCCUCAAAACAAUUGGCAGCCGGCGUAUUGAUUUCGGAGCGCAGUACAUCUCGCGCUUUACACUCAUAACGACGACGUCCAAAAGUACAUUUUUACACUCUUGACCUCGGAUCAGGUAGGGAUACCCGCUGAACUUAAGCAUAUCAAUAAGCGGAGGA
rnacentral:misc_RNA from 1 species